rnacentral:rRNA from 1 species
AUGAACGCUGGCGGCGUGCCUAAUACAUGCCAGUCGAGCGAACGGACGAGAAGCUUGCUUCUCUGAUGUUAGCGGCGGACGGGUGAGUAACACGUGGAUAACCUACCUAUAAGACUGGGAUAACUUCGGGAAACCGGAGCUAAUACCGGAUAAUAUUUUGAACCGCAUGGUUCAAAAGUGAAAGACGGUCUUGCUGUCACUUAUAGAUGGAUCCGCGCUGCAUUAGCUAGUUGGUAAGGUAACGGCUUACCAAGGCAACGAUGCAUAGCCGACCUGAGAGGGUGAUCGGCCACACUGGAACUGAGACACGGUCCAGACUCCUACGGGAGGCAGCAGUAGGGAAUCUUCCGCAAUGGGCGAAAGCCUGACGGAGCAACGCCGCGUGAGUGAUGAAGGUCUUCGGAUAGUAAAACUCUGUUAUUAGGGAAGAACAUAUGUGUAAGUAACUGUGCACAUCUUGACGGUACCUAAUCAGAAAGCCACGGCUAACUACGUG